CAAUAGCGUAUAUUAAAGUUGUUGCAGUUAAAAGGCUCGUAGUUGGAUUUCUGGUUUGAUGCCCUGGCCCGCUUCAAAUUUUGGAGUGUGUGCCGGCUGUGCGUCUGCCAUCCUUCUAGAAAACGUUCGUACCCUUCACUGGGCCGCGUUCGAGAUCUAGAUCUUUUACUUUGAAAAAUUAGAGUGUUUAAAGCAGGCAGUUGCUAUGAAUACAUUAGCAUGGAAUAAUAAUCUAGGACUUCGGUUCUAUUUUGUUGGUUUCUAGUACUGAAGUAAUGAUUGAUAGGGAUAGUUGGGGGUGGCUAGUAUUGAGCGGCCAGAGGUGAAAUUCUUGGAUUCGCUCAAGACUAACUUAUGCGAAAGCAUUCACCAAGGAUGUCUUCUUUAAUCAAGAACGAAAGUUGGGGGAUCGAAGAUGAUUAGAUACCAU
rnacentral:rRNA from 1 species